rnacentral:rRNA from 1 species
ACCUACGGGACGCAGCAGUUAAGAAUAUUGCGCAAUGGGCGAAAGCCUGACGCAGCGACGCCGCGUGAAGGAAGAAGGCUCUCGGGUUGUAAACUUCAUUAAGAUGGGAAGAAUAAGUGUGGUCUAAUAGGCCGCGCGAUGACGGUACCAUCCUGCAGCCCCGGCUAAUUACGUGCCAGCAGCCGCGGUAACACGUAAGGGGCAAGCGUUGUUCGGAUUUAUUGGGCGUAAAGGGCGCGUAGGCGGGUAAUUAAGUUGGGUGUUUAACCUUCAGGCUCAACCUGAAGUCUGCACUCAAUACUGAUUAUCUUGAGUAUCGGAGGGGAAAGUGGAAUUCUUGGUGUAGCGGUGGAAUGCGUAGAUAUCAAGAGGAACACCAGUGGCGAAGGCGACUUUCUGGCCGAAUACUGACGCUAAAGCGCGAAAGCGUGGGGAGCAAACAGGAUUAGAUACCCGCGUAGUCCC